UACGAGGGGGGCGAGCGUUGUCCGGAAUCAUUGGGUGUAAAGGGCUCGUAGGCGGAUCGAUCAGUCGGAACUUAAAUCCCACGGCUUAACCGUGGAGCUGGUUUCGAUACUAUCGGUCUUGAGUUCGGUAGGGGAAGGCGGAAUUCCUGGUGUAGCGGUGAAAUGCGUAGAUAUCAGGAGGAACACCGAAGGCGAAGGCAGCCUUCUGGGCCGAAACUGACGCUGAGGAGCGAAAGCGUGGGUAGCGAACAGGAUUAGAUACCCCCGUA
rnacentral:rRNA from 1 species